rnacentral:rRNA from 1 species
CCCUUAGAUGUUCUGGGCCGCACGCGCGCUACACUGAUGGAUUCAACGAGUGUUGUUCUUCGGAGCAGAUCCUUGGUCGGAAGGCCUGGGCAAUCUUGUAAAUGUCCAUCGUGAUGGGGCUAGAUUUUUGCAAUUCUGAAUCUCCAACGAGGAAUUCCUAGUAAACGCAAGUCAUCAGCUUGCAUUGAUUACGUCCCUGCCCUUUGUACACACCGCCCGUCGCACCUACCGAUUGAAUGGUCCGGUGAAAUCUCGGGACGGCGGCUUGGUCGCUUGCGUCCGACUGCUGAAACUUGAUUAAACCAUAUCAUUUAGAGGAAGGUGAAGUCGUAACA